CAGGGAGGUAGAUACCCACAGUACUACAUAGAUAACAGCAGAAGAGAGGACCAAGUUCUCUGCUGAGAAAUAUCACCAAAACUCCUUCAAAUAGGAGGCCUUUGGCAGAUCUCUGGCUGCUGAUUUUACUCUUUUCAACUGAACUAGAAGUGCUGAAGACAUGUACAGCAUAUCCAGACUCCACAAGCUGUCAUAUGUUAUUUUGUGCACGCACCAAAAAUAGUUCCAGGCACUUCCACAAGCAGAUGGAUCUGGUCAAGAGGAAUAUUUUGCCAGAAGCUAAGAAUAAUUUGGUGUAAUUUAUUGUAGAGUAUGACUCUAUGCUAUGACGAAGACUGCAAUUAGUAAUUUUAUAUGCAAGAAGAAACAUCUCAAAAGAACAAUGGGGUAACUUAUUUUCCAUCAUAUUCAAGGGCGUGUAUAUGACAAUGACAUACUUCAAGAUGAACCAGACAUUUCCUGGUAAAAAUGACCGAUUCCACCCUCCUGCAAUUCAGUAUCAUAUUCUGUAGGUGUUCCGAACAGGUUAUGCCAAUGAAACUCUGGAGCAUCAAAUAUAGCACUUCAGGAAAAAAAAAAAAAAAAAACAUUUUCCUUCUGUGAACAAACUUGGACACCUUACAGAGAAGUACUGAAUGUUGAUUCUCUUGAGGCGAUGCUUCAAUUGAAAGAGUGGGCAUGUUCUGAAGAUUUUGUUUUGCCAGUUGUGAGUUACUCAAAGGACAGUUUGAAGGGCAGUAACUGAUAAGCUGAAGAUCCUGCUGCACUUCUUAAGGCAAUCACCUGUGGCAAGAUCUUUCAUCACAGUGCUUUGGCAGAGGCCUCCAACGAAUCCCUCCCAAAAGUGGAUGGGAGUUAAAGCAUUGUGAAGUAGUGAAGAGGCUCUCAGCAGAACUGAAACCAUUUCUAAUGUGGCCAAACUCUUCCUUCUGUCCUGACAAUGGACAAAUAUCAGAACGAAAAAUGCAAGUGAGAUGAUAAAACUGUAGAAGAAUCUAUCAACCUUGGAAA